CCUACGGGUGGCAGCAGUGGGGGAUAUUGCACAAUGGGGGGAACCCUGAUGCAGCGACGCCGCGUGAGCGAUGAAGUAUUUCGGUAUGUAAAGCGCUAUCAGCAGGGAAGAAAAUGACGGUACCUGACUAAGAAGCACCGGCUAACUACGUGCCAGAAGCCGCGGUAAUACGUAGGGGGCAAGAGUGAUACGGAUUUACUGGGUGUAAAGGGAGUGUAGACGGCAGUGCAAGUCUGAAGUGAAAGGCAAGGGCUCAACCUUUGGACUGGUUUGGAAACUGUGCUGCUGGAGUGUCGGAGAGGCAAGUGGGAUGCCUAGUGUAGCGGUGAAAUGCGUAGAUAUUAGGAGGAACACCAGUGGCGAAGGCGGCUUGCUGGACGAUGACUGACGUUGAGGCUCGAAAGCGUGGGGAGCAAACAGGAUUAGAUACCCCUGUAGUC
rnacentral:rRNA from 1 species